GCCGCUGCUGGGCGAGGGACGGGUUUUUGGGUCUUUGGGAAGGAGCCGUGAGGUUCAACAGUUGGUGGAGGAGUAUCCCAGUCAGGCAUUCCUGGCCGAGAGUUCUGAGUGGGGAAAAACGUAAAGUCCAUUUUCCUUCACUUGAUACUACAUCUUAUUCGUUCUAUCAAUGACCCGGAGCAUCCACUGACGCUGGAGGAAUUGAAUGUAGUAGAGCAAGUUAGGGUUCAGGUUAGUGACCCUGACAGCACAGUGGCAGUGGCCUUUACACCCACCAUUCCACACUGCAGCAUGGCUACUCUUAUUGGCCUGUCCAUCAAAGUCAAGCUUCUGCGCUCCCUUCCCCAGCGUUUCAAGUGAACAAACAGCUUGCAGAUAAGGAGCGAGUGGCAGCUGCCUUGGAGAACACCCACCUGCUGGAGGUUGUGAAUCAGUGCCUGUCAGCCCGCUCCUGAGACUGGAUUUGACCUUCAUCAUGCACCAGUGUCCUAACCUCAGCUUCAUCCGGGACUCAUGGCUUUGUUUUCUUGAAUCACUGAUAAUAAGAAACUAACAUUUUGCUUUUUGUAAUAAACCCUUAAUUUAUAUUCA